AUUGAACGCUGGCGGCGUGCCUAAUACAUGCAAGUCGAACGCAGUGGGGACGGGUGAGUAACACGUGGGUAACCUCCCAUCAGAGGGGAUAACACUUGGAAACAGGUGCUAAACAGAUAUUGAUGGAUGGACCCGCGGUGCAUUAGCUAGUUGGUGAGGUAACGGCUAACCAAGGCCACGAUGCAUAGGCGACCUGAGUGGGUGAUCGGCCACCCUGGGACGUAGACACGGCCCAGACUCCUACGGUAGGCAGCAGUAGGGAAUCUUCGGCAAUGGACGAAAGUCUGACCGAGCAACGCCGCGUGAGUGAAGAAGGUUUUCGGAUCGUAAAACUCUGUUGUUAGAGAAGCGGUAUCUAACCAGAAAGCCACGGCUAACUACGUGCCAGCCGCCGCGGUAAUUC
rnacentral:rRNA from 1 species